AUUGAACGCUGGCGGCAGGCCUAACACAUGCAAGUCGAGCGGAUGAAGGUAGCUUGCUCCUGGAUUCAGCGGCGGACGGGUGAGUAAUGCCUAGGAAUCUGCCUGGUAGUGGGGGAUAACGUCCGGAAACGGGCGCUAAUACCGCAUACGUCCUGAGGGAGAACGUGGGGGAUCUUCGGACCUCACGCUAUCAGAUGAGCCUAGGUCGGAUUAGCUAGUUGGUGGGGUAAAGGACUACCAAGGCGACGAUCCGUAACUGGUCUGAUAGGCUGGGCAGUCACACUGGAAGUGAGACACAGUCCAGACUGCUGCGGGAGGCAGCAGUGGGGAAUAUUGGGCAGUGGGCGGAAGCCUGGCACAGCCAUGCCGCGUGUGUGAAGAAGGUCUUCGGUUUGUAAAGCACUUUAAGUUGGGAGGAAGGGCAGUAAGAUAAUACGUUGCUGUUUUGACGUUACCAACAGAAUAAGCACCGGCUAACUACGUG
rnacentral:rRNA from 1 species